rnacentral:rRNA from 1 species
UACGUAGGGUGCGAGCGUUAAUCGGAAUUACUGGGCGUAAAGCGUGCGCAGGCGGUUUUGUAAGACAGACGUGAAAUCCCCGGGCUUAACCUGGGAACUGCGUUUGUGACUGCAAGGCUAGAGUAUGGCAGAGGGGGGUAGAAUUCCACGUGUAGCAGUGAAAUGCGUAGAGAUGUGGAGGAAUACCGAUGGCGAAGGCAGCCCCCUGGGUCAAUACUGACGCUCAUGCACGAAAGCGUGGGGAGCAAACAGGAUUAGAUGCCCUGGUAGUCCACGCCCUAAACGAUGUCAACUAGGUGUUGGGGGAGGAGACUUCCUUAGUACCGCAGCUAACGCGUGAAGUUGACCGCCUGGGGAGUACGGCCGCAAGGUUGAAACUCA